ACUGAUUGAUGGUGCUUGCACCUGAUUGACGAUGGAUCACCAGUGAGUGGCGGACGGGUGAGUAACACGUAGGUAACCUGCCCCGGAGCGGGGGAUAACAUUUGGAAACAGAUGCUAAUACCGCAUAACAACAAAAGCCGCAUGGCUUUUGUUUGAAAGAUGGCUUUGGCUAUCACUCUGGGAUGGACCUGCGGUGCAUUAGCUAGUUGGUAAGGUAACGGCUUACCAAGGCGAUGAUGCAUAGCCGAGUUGAGAGACUGAUCGGCCACAAUGGAACUGAGACACGGUCCAUACUCCUACGGGAGGCAGCAGUAGGGAAUCUUCCACAAUGGGCGCAAGCCUGAUGGAGCAACACCGCGUGAGUGAAGAAGGGUUUCGGCUCGUAAAGCUCUGUUGUUGGAGAAGAACGUGCGUGAGAGUAACUGUUCACGCAGUGACGGUAUCCAACCAGAAAGUCACGGCUAACUACGUGCCAGCAGCCGCGGUAAUACGUAGGUGGCAAGCGUUAUCCGGAUUUAUUGGGCGUAAAGCGAGCGCAGGCGGUUGCUUAGGUCUGAUGUGAAAGCCUUCGGCUUAACCGAAGAAGUGCAUCGGAAACCGGGCGACUUGAGUGCAGAAGAGGACAGUGGAACU
rnacentral:rRNA from 2 species